AUACGUAGGGGGCGAGCGUUGUCCGGAAUGAUUGGGCGUAAAGGGCGCGUAGGCGGCCCGGUAAGUCUGGAGUGAAAGUCCUGUUUUUAAGAUGGGAAUUGCUUUGGAUACUGUCGGGCUUGAGUGCAGGAGAGGUAAGUGGAAUUCCCAGUGUAGCGGUGAAAUGCGUAGAGAUUGGGAGGAACACCAGUGGCGAAGGCGACUUACUGGACUGUAACUGACGCUGAGGCGCGAAAGUGUGGGGAGCAAACAGGAUUAGAUACCCUGGUAGUCCACACUGUAAACGAUGAAUGCUAGGUGUCGGGCUAGCAAUAGUUCGGUGCCGCAGUUAACGCAAUAAGUGCUCCGCCUGGGGAGUACGCACGCAAGUGUGAAACUUAAAGGAAUUGACGGGG
rnacentral:rRNA from 1 species